GAUGAAGAACGCAGCGAAAUGCGAUAAGUAAUGCGAAUUGCAGAAUUCCAGUGAGUCAUCGAAUCUUUGAACGCACAUUGCGCCCUUUGGUAUUCCGAAGGGCAUGCCUGUUCGAGCGUCAUUAUCACCCCUCAAGCCCUCGGCUUGGUGUUGGACGGUUUGGUGGAGGCCCCCUCGGGGGUUCCUGCCCCUCCCAAAGACCAUGACGGCGGCCUCGUUGGACCCCCGGUACACUGAGUUCUUCACGGGACACGUAUCGGACACAUGGGUUUACGGGACACGGUCUGCCUCCCCUCAGGGAGAAUCUUUCUAAGGUUGACCUCGGAUCAGGUAGGGAUACCCGCUGAACUUAAGCAUAUCAAUAAGCGGAGGA
rnacentral:misc_RNA from 1 species